UACAGAGGUCUCAAGCGUUGUUCGGAUUCAUUGGGCGUAAAGGGUGCGUAGGUGGCAUGGUAAGUCGGAUGUGAAAUCCCGGGGCUCAACCCCGGAACUGCAUUCGAUACUGCUGCGCUAGAGUACUGGAGAGGAGAUUGGAAUUUACGGUGUAGCAGUGAAAUGCGUAGAUAUCGUAAGGAAGACCAGUGGCGAAGGCGGAUCUCUGGACAGUUACUGACACUGAGGCACGAAGGCCAGGGGGAGCAAACCGGG
rnacentral:rRNA from 1 species